rnacentral:tRNA from 1 species
GAGGGUGUAGCUCAGUGUAGAGCACUUGCUUUGAGUGCAUGAGACCUGGAUCUGAUCACCUACACCCCCA